GGGGGUGUUCCGGUUUCGACGGGGUGUAGGACGCCGUACGGUGCAUGCCGAGGUCUAGUUUCCUCGAUAAACAACUAGAAAAAAAUAAACGCCAACAACGAGCGUUUCGCUCUCGCCGCUUAAUGCCGCGAGCGAUGCACUGAGUGGUCACAGGCUCAGGUCGGGUAAAACCGGCAGCAUCGUCAUUUCACUGUGACUGGAAGCGCACGGAGCCGUGACGUGCACUUCGAGAUCCAAGCGGCUGGCCGUCUGGAGGCCCGUUUAACGGCAGGACAGACGGUGAGAACUCAAAAUUGUUGAACUAAGCAUGUAGAUCCGACGGAAAAAUCGCUUCGGACGCGGGUUCAAUUCCCGCCACCUCCACCA
rnacentral:tmRNA from 2 species